AUGGUCCUCUCCACCAUCCUGCAAUCUUUGCUUUUCUCCAAAUGGGCGGGCUCCCCACAGCUGGCCAGCCCGCUGUGGUGUAGACUGUUUCUCUUGUUUGAGCUCCGCAUGAGAGACACUCAACAGAUGCCGAGAGGCAAGUCGGAAGGCCCAGCUCCAACAGCCCUUCUCUCCUGGAGGGGUCUGUCAACGGGGUGGCCCGCCACAUCACUCCCCACGUCCACCAGCCCCGCCUGGCCCACGCAGCCUUCCUCAGUCCCAAUCACCCUCGAAGGUCUUGGAAGAACUGGCGUUUCUCCUGGAAGCUGGAGUUCACGCACGGCUUAAUGAAGAUGAGACGUGUGCAAGGUUCCUCGCAAAAUGGGUCACAGCUCUGCAGGAAGAGAAACGAGGAGCAGGCGGUCACUGCGAUUCUCAGAUCCACAGGGACAAAUUGGACUUGUCUGGAUUUCCCUGCAGAGCCAAGAGCCAGAAACAAGUCGGGGCCACUGCUGUUGCCCAACACACGGUUGUCCCCAGCUCCACCCCAGAACAGCCCAAAUUCCCCAGAUUGCUGUGGAGAGAGUCAGCCUGUGCGAAGAGGGAUUGAGCAAUGCCGGGCCUCCCAGAGUCCCUGACCCGGCUGGCACCCAGCAACGGCCAAGCGGCCUGAGCAUCUGGGGUCAGAUCGAAAGGUAGUUAAGGGAAGAUGGCUGUUUCCUUUUGGGGUGCAGUGGGACAAUGUUCGUGGUGGGCAAAGUUCCCUUCACAUUGCCCAUCCUGUGGUGGCGGGUUGGGGGGCGGUGGUGGUUUCAGCUUGGGCUCAUGGUGUCUGGUUGCCGUUUUGUUUAGGGUGUGGAAGUUAAAGGCUGGAGGGUGGGGUUUGCAGGAUGGUGCGAACCUUUCACCUCUGAGUUGAAGGGAAGGGGGAAGCAGCUGCCCUCGCAGCAGUAAACAGAGUCCAGCCUCGAGCUGACACCUCCAGCUGGCCGGGGAGGAUGUCACCAGGCAGUUUCUAAGUCUUUGAUGUUGGGGCUGCUUUUUCUUCUCUCCCUAAUCACCAGACAGCUGGGUGGGCUGAGAGGGAGGCGUCUGGCACACACGUCCGUUUCCAGGAAAGGAGUGGCCUCAAGGUCACUCCAUGGACUCUGAACGGGGUCCACGGGGGCUCCUGAGCCUUUCUGGAUGGAGACCUGGGAUUUGGCCCCACACUGUAUCCCCAGACUUUGCUGGAUAUCCCCAACUGCUCUGAGCAAAUUCCAAGGAGCUGUCCCCAGGAGUCCCACCCCGACGACGAGCUUGUCAAUUCACCACAAACCCCAUUACAAGUGGCCCAGGAGAAGAGGCUGCCGAGCAAACGUCCUGCACGCAUUUAAAGGGUUAAUAAGGGAGGGCCAAGGAGGCUGAUUUAAAACAGAAUAGGAAAGUCUUUUAAGGUAUCUUUUUUUAAAGAAAUUAAAAUACCUUUAAAAAAUCUUUAAAAGAUGUAUCUUUUUCUUAUUAUAAAAGAUUAAAUGUUUGUUGUAGAAAAUCUAGAAGUGUCAGAAAAGUAUAGAAAACAUGAAAGAUCAUGUUGAAUCACACAAGAAACUGCUAACCUUGCUAACAUUGUGAUCUCGUCUUGAUACACACAGACACGCACACCAGCACGUGUUUUCGCAGUCGACGACGCCAUCCUACAGAUAUAGCACAUGCCUUUCUUAAUUCCCUUAAAACCCCAUGGCAAGCAUUCCAUGUCUUUGAAAGCAUGAAUUUUCAC
ensembl:lncRNA